CAGAGAUGGUCUAGUUGGUUAUGACGCGCCCUUCACACGGGUGAGGUCCCGGGUUCGAUUCCCGGUCUUU
rnacentral:tRNA from 1 species